UACGUAAGGGGCGAGCGUUAUCCGGAAUUACUGGGCGUAAAGCGUGCGUAGGCGGCUUAGCGUGUGGGAUUUGAAAGCCCGGGGCUCAACUCCGGAUCCGGAUCCCAAACUGCUAGACUCGAGAGCAUCAGAGGAGAGCGGAAUUCCCGGUGUAGCGGUAAUAUGCGUAGAUAUCGGGAGGAACACCAGUGGCGAAGGCGGCUCUCUGGGGUAUUUCUGACGCUGAGGCACGAAAGCCAGGGGAGCGAACGGG
rnacentral:rRNA from 1 species